rnacentral:lncRNA from 1 species
GCUCUCUCAAACCUCCUAUGGGCGCUAGAGUAGUUAGCGAACGUCCCUUUCAACGGUUGUACAUCGAUUUCAUUGGUCCCUUUCCUCGAAGCAGAAAGGGCAACAUAGGAAUAUUUAUCAUCCUGGAUCACUUCUCAAAAUUUACCUUCUUAAAGGCGGUCAAGAAAUUUACUUCCCAGAUAGUGAUUGACAUAUUGAGAGAAGAGAUAUUUUCAUGUUAUGGAGUGCCGGAAGUGCUAGUGAUCGAUAACGGUACGCAGUUUAAAAGUAGUGAUUUUUCUAAAUUCCUUUUGAAGUACGGUGUUCAGCACUUAUGUACAGGGGCGUAUGCUCCACAGUCGAAUGCCGCGGAAAGGGUUAACCGAUCGAUUAAUGCCGCGCUCAGAGCGUACGUUCGUACUGACCAUCGUGAAUGGGAUGUGUUCCUUAGUAGCAUAACCUGUUCUUUGAGAAAAUCAAUACACCAAUCAGUUGGCAUGGCACCAUAUUUUGUGGUCUUUGGUCAGCACAUGAUUUCACAUGGCCAAGAUUACAAAAUGUUGCGAGAAGUCGAAUUACUCAACGAGGGUGAGGGAAAAUUGUCAAGAGCUGACGAAUUUCAGAAGAUUCGCUCAAACAUCGAGAAACACCUGACAAAAGCUUACAAGAGAAAUCAACGCACUUACGACCUGAGAUCCAAGCCUCGUUCGUUUGAGGUAGGUCAAGAAGUAAUAAAGAGAAAUUUUUCUUUGAGUAGCGCGGCCAAUAACGUUAACGCUAAACUAGCUCCAGUUGGAGUGAAGGCUCGCGUAAAGCAGAAAUGUGGCCAACUGAUUUAUCUACUGGAAGACUUGAACGGUAAAGAGCUGGGGAAAUUUCACAUUAAGGAUAUUUGGUAGCUAGAGACAAAAGUCUGCACCCUUCCUUGUUGUUGUUUCAGUUUUAUCUUUGGUCAAAACCCUAAGAUAAAAUCUGGCGGGGGGGUGUGAAGGUUGCAGACCAAAAACAAAAGGUUAGAAUGUCUGUUUGUUUUUGGGGAACAGUCUUCUAAUUUUAUCAAGAAAAUAUUGAACCUCCCCCACUGUACGCAUUCCAGCGAGAGCCCACAUGCAAGAUCAGAAGCUGUUAUCUUGAAAAGCUCUCUCUUUCGAAAUUGCAUGUGCGAGCACCGUUCACAUGUGAGCUUUUCUCUCUGCAAACAUAGCUUACGGCUAGCCCUUCGAGAACCUUCUUAGCUCUCUCAUACACAGCUUUUGGAGGGGUAAAAUAGUUAGGCUAAGUGCAUGCUGCACAGAACAAAAAUUGCAUUCAAGGUUUGAAGACUUAAUUGAUGUGCGUGUAGAAAAUAUACAAAAACAAAAAAAAAAACGUGGUGAAAAGUUUGCAAAACCAUAAAAGGGAACAUAACCCAAAUAAAAAAACAAUAUAAAAGUGUUGUGGCUGCAAGACGAAAACUAAAAAACCAACCCCUGGAUAAGGUACGCCAAGAGAAAAAAUGAAAAAGUGACCUUAUUACAUAAUUCCAUGUAUGUACUGUACAUAGGUUAUGAUCCACGUGUGGCAGGAAAUUGCUGACCUGGCCUGACCCUCGGUCUCGGAGGGGGGGUCCGCUCCAGUACCACGAUCAUCCGUCCCUCUUUUUGGUGCCACCGGACCUUGCCUGCAGGCGAAAAAAAACGGAUGGACCUGGCGAUCGGGACCGAGUUGUUUAUAUACAUAUAUCUCACGCGCAACUAUAAAACCAUCUUUAUAUAUUAUAUCACCGCGCCUUGUGUAAAGAAUUGUUGGUGCUUGCAUAUGUAGGGUGUGGAAAAAUUAGCUCAGCGGUCAUUGCCCUUGCGGCUGACCAUACACCUAUGCGCACUUAAAUAGACCCACCUGACCGUAUGUCACCUAUUCUCUCCUUCUCUCAGGUUAUUAAAAUUGUUCGAUGCCGACAUUCUAAAAGCCACUUAAGGGAAGAAAAGUGAAUCACAAAAAUCUAGAAAAGAAAAUAAUGAAAAAUUAUGGAUAGAAGAAAAAAAAUAGAAAAGAAAAUUGUUCAAUAAUAUUAAAUAUUCCUAGACAUUAACUUAGAAUAGAAGAAGAAAAACAUGAAAUUUAUGCGUAGUUAAUAAUAGAUUCUAAAGGGUGCAUCAUCGGUCUCAUUGUGUCCAUGGAAGGGUAUUGGUAAAAUACCUCUUCAUAACGCUUCUUGUUAUUUUGCAUAUUUCUACAUUUCUUUAACAGUUAGAAC